AUCAGAACGAAGCGAAUGGUCUGGUUGGGCCAUGGCGGAAGCCCCUGCAAUGUUUGAUGUUCGAGACAGAAAAGAGAAACACAGCAGAAACAGGAGGAGAAAAUCUACCAGCGGCAAUUUCGGCCCGGUCUAUCGGAAGAAAUCCGAUAUUGCUCACAGCACAUCUUUUGGAAAAGAGGUCAGUGAAGACAAUAAAGGUCGAACAUUAAUGCUGCUGGACAGAGAAGCAGACGCCUCUGGUGCGAAGAAAACUGCAGUAGAAACACAACUAUGGCAAUACAUCGGGAUCCGGAUUUCCUU